rnacentral:rRNA from 1 species
UUCGCAAUGCCCGAAAGGGUGACGAUGCGACGCCGCGUGAGCGAAGAAGGCCCUAGGGUUGUAAAGCUCUGUCGAGGGUUAUGAAAUAUAGAUGGGUUAAUACCCCAUUUAUUUGACAAAAGCCCAAAAGGAAGCCACGGCUAACUCUGUGCCAGCAGCCGCGGUAAUACAGAGGUGGCGAGCGUUGUUCGGUAUUAUUGGGCGUAAAGAGCACGUAGGUGGUUUUGUAAGUCAGGUGUGAAAGCCUUCUGUUCAAAGGAAGAACGGCAUCUGAAACUGCAGAUCUUGAGUGUAGGAGGGGAGAGUGGAACUUCUGGUGGAGCGGUGAAAUGCGUAGAUAUCAGAAGGAACGUCGGCGGCGAAAGCGACUCUCUGGCCUAUUACUGGCACUGAGGUGCGAAAGUUAGGGGAGCAAACGGGAUUAGAUACCCCGGUAGUCCUAACCGUAAACGAUGGGCACUAAGUAGAGGGGUUUU